UGACCGUGAGAGAGGACUUAGCCAAGGGCAGAAGAGAGAAAAGAGUAGAACAAGAGAGACUGCACCGUAGGCCAGCUGUCUAGACAAAGGCCACCCCUGAAAGAUCUAGAAAUGAGGCCCAACAGGUGCGCCCCGGGCUGGGAGCGGAGGACAGGGCGCUGCUCCUGCGGCCAUCCACACCGAUCGCCACUGACACUCCCAACCAUGCAUGUAUGUUGUGAAGCCGACUCACAAGAGGGGAAACUGAGGCUCGGAGAGACGAAGUGACUGGGCCAAGAGCCAGGCCCGGAAUUCCCGCCUGAGCGGCACCAGCGGCCACCGUCUUUCUCCUGCAGCCGCCUGCCUCCCGUGGGUCCGGGCAGACGGCCCAGGGCACUCCCGGAGGUACCAGCUUAGCCCCAGAAGAGCCAAGCCGUGCCGCGGACGGUGGGAACCCCGGCUUGGGGCCAAACUGCCCGUGUCGCGUGUGUCGCCCGAUUUCUUGUCCCCCAAGGUGGAGAUGGCGAAAGCGUAGACUCCCAGGCGUCGCAUGAGGUUUAAACGAGGUGACUGCGAAGUGCUUCGAGCACUUCCUGGCCCACAACCAGCUCUUGACAAAUGGUAGCUCCUGGGAUGAGUCAGGGAGAAGCUUGUGCGCCUGACAGAGGGAGAGGCGGUGGGGGCUUCUAGCAAGGCGAGGGCAUGGGCAGUGAGAUGGCACCGCGCCACGGUGGGGACCAGAGGCCUCAAGCCCCCCAGAGGCCUCGUGAGGCCACCCCCACCUGGGAGCCAGGGGGGGUCGACAGCUGCCCCCUCCCUAGAGGUUCUGGCUCCCAGGUAGAGAGGAGGGUGGGGUGGCCGGGAGGGGAGGCGGGGGUAAGGAGUGCAGAGCAUACCUGUGCCAACCCUCCUCUGCGCCCGGCACUUCCAGAACCUUGUGCCUCUUCCAGAGUUUUCCUGGACUGGAGACUGAGGCAGGGCAGGGGCUGGGCCGGGCCAGGCCGGGGGGGCUGGGGGGUUCCACCCAGGUAUGAGGGGCUGGCAAAGCUGAGAGUGGGG
rnacentral:lncRNA from 12 species